GAUGAACGCUGGCGGCGUGCCUAAUACAUGCAAGUCGAGCGAACGGACGAGAAGCUUGCUUCUCUGAUGUUAGCGGCGGACGGGUGAGUAACACGUGGAUAACCUACCUAUAAGACUGGGAUAACUUCGGGAAACCGGAGCUAAUACCGGAUAAUAUUUUGAACCGCAUGGUUCAAAAGUAAAAGACGGUCUUGCUGUCACUUAUAGAUGGAUCCGCGCUGCAUUAGCUAGUUGGUAAGGUGACGGCUUACCAAGGCAACGAUGCAUAGCCGACCUGAGAGGGUGAUCGGCCACACUGGAACUGAGACACGGUCCAGACUCUUACGGGAGGCAGCAGUAGGGAAUCUUCCGCAAUGGGCGAAAGCCUGACGGAGCAACGCCGCGUGAGUGAUGAAGGUCUUCGGAUCGUAAAACUCUGUUAUUAGGGAAGAACAUAUGUGUAAGUAACUGUGCACAUCUUGACGGUACCUAAUCAGAAAGCCACGGCUAACUACGUG
rnacentral:rRNA from 1 species